CCCCUUUUUGUUUCUUCCCGAGUCUCCCCUGUCCCUUGGGUGUACUUAUUGGCUGGAAGGCAGCUUGGCAUGAGCGUCUUUUCUCAUUCCUAAUUAACAGCAGAGUCUUUGCUUCUUCGCCUCCCAAAUGAGAAUUCAGAAAACUUAACUGCUGUGAGAUGCACAGGGUUGUCCAGGGGACCAGUCCCAAUAGAAGAAAAAAGAGGCUGGGCCUGUCCCAUCUCCAGUGCCAGCUGUCAGUGGCAGCUGAGGCCUUGUGGGGUGAGUAUCUUCUGGAGGUAGCAAAGGCCUUUCCAGAGAGGAGCCAGGCAGCCAAAGGUAAGCACUGGGAGGGUUCCAUUUCUGCCUUGGGAAAUCCUGGGAAGUUGGAAAUUGGCACCUGCUCCCAGGGGUUGGCCUUUGUCCCUGGUGUCCCAGUGUGCAUGCCUAAAUUCACUGUAUAAGAGCUCAGGAUCCUUUCCCAGUGAGCCAAGACAUGUCGCCAGUCCUGCAGAGAGGAGGAGGGAUCAGGACAGAAUACAGCAGGUUCCCCACUCUAGGCACCAUGAAUAGCUGACUCUUGAAGACAGCUGGGUCAUUGCUCUGUGUCAGAUCCUGGUACCCAGCAGGGAAAUUCAUUUGGGCAGGUUGUGGGGGUGGGUAGAUCAUUGGGUAAAGGCUCAAAAUGGUCAACACGAAGAACACAGAAUACACGUACUUGCUGUGUAGCAUAAACAGCCUUUGGGAAGGCAAGAGGAAAAAAAAGAGAAGGCCAGGGAAAAAGAAUGUCAUUCAUCAUGUCUGUUCUUGAUCCUCCAUUGUUUCCAGCUGAAGGACUACCCCUGUCCUCCAGCUCGCCAGUAGCUUUUGGGCUUUCCCCAAUCCCAGGGAGCUCUCUGUAAACAGUUCAAGCCUCAGGAGGUCUCUCACUGGCACCAUGCUGGGAAAAGGGUAAUGGCCAAUAGCCAGUGCCUCCAAGACCCCAAGCAACCAUCUCAACAUCUCUGCAGGGUAUACCCAGGUACUUCUGUAGGUGUGUCUCCCCAUCUAGUUUCUACCAGGAUUAGUGCAAAUCCCAUGACGUAUCUAGGCAAAGUGAUCACCCAAGCAGUGGGCCUUGACUCCUCCCUACAACACUGGCUGUUCCUUGAGGCACACAGCCCUUUCCUUUCUGUUCCAUGAGCACAUAUCACCAGCCUUCUCCCAGAUCACAAUCUAUGCUCCACACUGCCUUGUAACCCUGGAAACUUCAGACUGAUGGAAACCAAAGAGGGGAAGAGUGGGCCCUGGAGGACCAUGGAUUGGCUGGUUUACGUCCUUCAGGGGACUUCCUCCCCCACCCAAAGCCUCCCACACCCACACUCACUCCACCUCCCGCUUCCGGAUGGCACGGCCAGAGGCCAGCACCUCAGCCACCUUGGAUACGAUGGGAUCGUAGUUCAUGCUAGCCACAGCAAUCACCUCGUCGCCUCUGCGGAGAUAGAGUACCUAUGCCUAAAGACUGCCCAUUGACAUUCUUUCUUGAAGACCCUGACACACUCCUGUCCACCUAGGCCCAGGGUAAUAUCUUGCCCUGGGAAACAGAAAUACCCUGAGCAUUCAGUCCUCUGUUUGUCCCAACGCACAACUCCAGCUCUCAGCAGAGUUUGGGCUGGGCCUGAGCUGGCAAUCUCUCCAGAUGUGACUUUCCUCACUGUAAAAGCAGGGCAUCAACAUCCACCUCAAAGAACGGUUCAGAAUACGCACUGACUCUCCCACAACCCUGCGAUGGCAGACAGUUAUUACUGCCACCUGCUUACCUUCCCUCCUGCCCAGCUGCCUCCCUUUGCCCUUGGCCCACUGUUUUGGUAAUGUCUUCUCCUCAGGAGCAGAGCUUUUCUGGAAUGAUUCUCCCUUCACCACUGAGGUCCAGCUGUCCCCCUCCCCCGCAACCUGAACCCCACCAUUCUCACUUGGUAUAAAAAGCCACAAAUUUCAGCUCCUCCAGGUCGCCUUGGAUGAUGACAUCGUCAAAGCCUUCUCCAUAGCCUGUGGGCAGGACAGGUGGGUGGUGCCCAAAUGAGAUGUGUUAGGGCUGGAGGCUUCACAGGCUCCCCACCCUGUGCCUAACUUCUUUCUGGUCAAGCUCCCUGGUUCCUUAUUUCUUAUUUUAGGUUAUCCAUACAAAAAUGAGUUCUUGAGCCAGGCGUGGUGGCUCAGGCCUGUAAUCCCAGCACUCGGAAGGCUGAGGUGGGAGGAUCGUUUCGAAUUCAAGACCAGCCUGGGCUACAAAGUGAGCUCAAGGCCAGCCUGAACUGCAUAGCGAGACCCUGUCUCAAAAAAAAAAAAAAAAAAAAAAAAAAAAGAAAAGAAAAAAAGAAAGAG